rnacentral:rRNA from 1 species
GACGGAAGGUGCAAGCGUUGCUCGGAAUCACUGGGCGUAAAGGGUGCGUAGGCGGCCGUGCAAGUCUGGCGUGAAAGCCCCGGGCUCAGCCCGGGAAGUGCGCUCGAAACUGCGCGGCUCGAGUGCCGGAGGGGAGAGUGGAAUUCCUGGUGUAGCGGUGAAACGCGUAGAUAUCAGGAGGAACACCUAUGGCGAAAGCAGCUCUCUGGGACGGUACUGACGCUGAGACGCGAAAGCGUGGGGAGCGAACAGG